rnacentral:lncRNA from 1 species
CAACAAUGCUGUCAUGGAGGGAGGGGUUAAAAACCAAAGAGAGAUAAGGGCUCAAUGUCUGCUGGGAGUUCAGAGCAUAGGACCUGAGUUAUGGGCCAUGGGAACACAGUGAGGCACGAGAGCACAGCCUGGUGUGGCACUGCAGCCCCACGGUGCCAUGGUGUGCACACACACACACACACACACACACACACACACAGUGCACGGGGCUUUAUGGUGAUGCUGGCAGUGCUGCACCACUGGAGGACGCGGAGGGCUGAGAGCAUCAGAGCACAGCACACACACAGCAGUGACACCGGGAGCACAGACACGGGGAGGGGGGGGGAAACGUCACUGCAUCCCCAGCAUUGGGCCUGGGAUGGGGCUCAGACCCAUCAGGAAUCGGCCACCCUGGGAGCUCCAUCCAGGGCAGUGUGCGCUGCUCUGUGUGCCCGCUGAGCUCCGUCAGUGCCGGCACUGAGGGGACCCUCUGGGCAGCCCCUCCAUUGGUACGGCUGGAGCUCAUCACCUCCGUGCGGUGCGCAGCACCCCGUGUGCCACAAAGCUCACGUCAGCCCCGUGCCCAGCAGCCCACAGCGACCCUCAGAGCCACGGGUGGGACGUGGCUGUGCACACACGUCGCCCCCCUCACUGUGCAGCAGGGAAAGGUGUGGGAGCGCAGCAUCCCCGGGGCUUGGGAUGGAACAGAGCCCGUGCAGCAAUGCCCGGUGCCACCGGCACUGCAGGGCUCCACGGCUGCUCCUGGCCCUGCAGUCACACUGGAUAUGAAGGACGUGGGUCGGCCCCACCUCUGAUGGUCAGACAGACCGACGGGCACAGCGGACAGAGCGGGGACAGAGAGACAGGGAGGAAAGCGGCCGCAGGGUCUGAGAGCACACAGCAGAGACAGACGUGAAGACAGGGAUGGGGAGAGCGCACACGUAAUGCACUGAGCAGGAGGAGAGCUGGGCUCGCUCAGAGGGCACAAACAGCACCUGGGAGGACAGAGCUGUGCCCUUCUAACCCAGCGCGCCCCAAUGGCCCCGAGAGCACAGCGGGGCGCUGCCAGGACCCGGCUCUGAGAGACCCCCAUUUCCACGGCAGGGGAUCCAUCACCGAACCCUUCCUGCUCUCCUUCCAGCUCAGUUUUUUACAGACAGGACUCGCUGAACCCUUUGUUAUCCUGCUGGGGAGCAGAGCAGCGCUUAAACAAGGAAGGCCAACAGGCACAGGGUUGUUUGCCUGGGAAAUCAGUGCCAGAGGGAUCCCAUCUCAGCAUCAGCAAUGCUUACGGUCAGCUCCUGCCCAACGCAUCGCUGUGUCAGAGCACCCGCGGCCAUAAGAAAGGCACUGCCCCCAUGUUACUGCAUCUGUUACUGCAUCUGCCCCCCAGGCUGCUGCCGUUGCCUUGGAGCAGCGUGGCUGUGCAGGCGGUCGCUGCUGACUGCUGCAGAGGAUUAAGGCACGGCUGCAUUGCAGCCCGGUGGUUUCUUGCUGCCCCUUGGUCAGAGGAGCCCCGAGGCACAGCUCUGCCAGAGGGCAUGAUCAUCUCUAUCUAAAAACGCAGGGGGUUCCUGAAUGCCCGCUCAGUGUGUGCUGAAGCUGAACACCGAUGCCGUGUGGCACACAUCAGCUCCUGGCCUAACAGUGCAGCAGGCAGCCCAGCCAGGGCAAGGCCUCUGUUUAAGACAUGGCAAAACCAGCAGGGAAUGCAUCUCACGGAGGCCUGAGCCCUGCAAAGCAGCCCCUCUGGUGUGUAAUUACAUCCAAUUUAAGACCAAGGUGGCGAACUCAGCGCCAUCCCUUAUGUGCCGAACCCUCCGCAGUGCUCAGUUCCUCAGGGAGGGCAUCCAGAGAUCAAAAACAGCACAGGGAAAACCCGUGGGGGACACCCGAGGGCACCACGAGGCUUCCUCGGAUGGACACGGAGCGGGGACAGCCCCGGGGCUGCGCCGUUUGGCUCCGGGUGGCGCUCCUCCCUUCGCUCAUCACCUUUCCCAGAGCCAAACUCUGCCUCCAGAGCGGGUGGUGCAAAUCCACCAACCCUGCAGAGCUCCUCCAGGUUUCCGGCACAGCGCCUGGAAGCUGAGUGGGGCGUCAGGGAAUGGUUGGAAAUGCCCACAUCCCAAUCAGUUCGCUCAGCAUCGCUUCGGGCUCAGCCCCCACGGGCACCAACACACACAGUGGACACAAGGAGAAGCUUUGGUGUUCACAUGGAUCAUACUUGCCUGAUGGGAAAGGUCAGGAACCUCGCUUUUACAGCGCUGCGCAGGGCCACGUGCACUUUAGCAGUACAGUGAGCAACAGGGGCUGCAUUUGCUUUUAAAAGCAUCCAUCACUGACUGCACCAGCAUCGCUGUGUGCUAAGGGCCCGAGCCUUGCAGGCAGCAUAAAGCCUCAGGUUAACAGAUGGUUUGUUACACACACGGUUUGCACGUGGCUCAGUUAGCUCUGCCCACGUCAGGCACGCCGAGGACUCGUUAGGGUUCAUCUAACCACAUCUUCUGGGUUAAUGGGUUAAACGACAGCACGUCACCAAUUGCUAUCUGACAGCGGCGCUGCUGCAAAUAGCAUUGGCCGGUUGGUGUUAUACAACAUGCCACUACGGGGAGGGGGUCAGCACAGCGCGUCCAAAGUGUGAAGGUACUCACACUGCCUCCUCCCGGGAUGUGUUUGAUAUUAUCCUUUGAGCCACACCUGGAUUGAACGCUGCUAAAGUCCAACUUCUGAUUAACAAUCUGCACCUUUGGUAGCCAGAAAAGAGUCAUUGCAUGUCACCAAUUGCUAUCUGACGGCACGGGCGCUGCAGAUAGCAUUGGUGGUUUAGUGUACACAACAUGCCACUUAUCAUUAAGAACUAUUACAGUGCAUUGAAAGUGUGAAGGUACUCACACUGCCUCCUCCCGGGAUGUGUUUGAUAUUAUCCUUUGAGCCACACUUGGAUUGAACGCUGCUAAAGUCCAGCUUCU